GGCAGACUAGACAUGGAGAAUCAUUCCUAACUUGGAUUGACACAAUGGGACAUUUUUAACACCUCACUGGAGACAUGCCAUAUGCCAGCCUGCUUCAAAGCCUCCAGCACUCCUGUUCCCAAGAAAUUUAAGGACCAAAGGACUACAUGACUUCAGACCCAUCGCCCUGACCUUUGUGAGACAACAAGUCUGUAGAAAAUGCAGUAACAUUCUGCAGCGCCUGAACACCACAGGAACCUAUGCUGGGAAGCACAACUGUAAGCUGUGAGCUGGUCUCUCAAUCCUGGACCAUCAGCACUAGUUCCUCUCUGCUCUCUUCCUGUAUACAAUCAGCUGCACCUACACUGAGAAAAUGGACUUUUGGGAACUGUAAAU